rnacentral:rRNA from 1 species
ACCGUGUGCCUACAACAAGUCAAAGCCCGUUAAUGGGUGAUGGCGUGCCUUUUGUAGAAUGAACCGGCGAGUUACGAUUGCAUGCGAGGUUAAGUUGAAGAGACGGAGCCGCAGCGAAAGCGAGUCUGAAUAGGGCGUUUGAGUAUGUAGUCGUAGACCCGAAACCAUGUGAUCUACCCAUGUCCAGGUUGAAGGUGCGGUAAAACGCACUGGAGGACCGAACCCACGUACGUUGAAAAGUGCGGGGAUGAGGUGUGGGUAGCGGAGAAAUUCCAAACGAACUUGGAGAUAGCUGGUUCUCUCCGAAAUAGCUUUAGGGCUAGCCUCGGAAUUGAGAAUGAUGGAGGUAGAGCACUGUUUGGACUAGGGGCCCAUCUCGGGUUACCGAAUUCAGAUAAACUCCGAAUGCCAUUCAUUCAUAUCCGGGAGUCAGACUGUGAGUGAUAAGAUCCAUAGUCGAAAGGGAAACAGCCCAGACCACCAGCUAAGGUCCCAAAAUAUAUGUUAAGUGGAAAAGGAUGUGGGGUUGCACAGACAACUAGGAUGUUGGCUUAGAAGCAGCCACCAUUUAAAGAGUGCGUAAUA